UACGUAGGUGGCAAGCGUUGUCCGGAAUUAUUGGGCGUAAAGCGCGCGCAGGCGGUCCUUUAAGUCUGAUGUGAAAGCCCACGGCUUAACCGUGGAGGGUCAUUGGAAACUGGGGGACUUGAGUGCAGGAGAGAAGAGUGGAAUUCCACGUGUAGCGGUGAAAUGCGUAGAGAUGUGGAGGAACACCAGUGGCGAAGGCGACUCUUUGGCCUGUAACUGACGCUGAGAAGCGAAAGCAUGGGGAGCGAACAGG
rnacentral:rRNA from 1 species